AUGCAAGUUUAUCGUCGUCAACGGCGACCGUCGGUGCAAACAGGCGGGACACAAUGUCCAAUCUGCUUGCACUGCUGGUUGUCGCUCGUUACCAGACCGCCACGUGCGACGACGAAGGUUUACGAGCUCGCGUUAAUAAUUCCAGCAUAUCUCGACAUGCAAAUUUCAUUUGUGCUCUUGUAAGAGAAGGUGCACUGCUUGUCUUCGACCAAUAAAGUUGUACGUCCUGUUCA
rnacentral:lncRNA from 1 species